GCGAGCCAGGAAGAGGAAGAACAAGUGUGAGAGCGGUGGGAAUGAGAACAUCCGAGGAAAGACUAGCUCGCUGGUUUAAUUUCCUCCUGUGAAGGUGGAAAUUUAGCGUGGUGUUUUUCCUGAUGCCUCUCAUUCCUAUUGUUCUCACGCACUCCUUCCUUUCCUUUUUGGCU
rnacentral:pre_miRNA from 1 species